rfam:Ixodes scapularis strain Wikel colony gcontig_1108379335654, whole genome shotgun sequence.
GCAGUCGCGGCCAAGUUAAGGCGAUGGACUAGAAAUUCAUUGGGGUCUCCCCGCACAGGUUCGAAUCCUGUUGACUGCG